rnacentral:rRNA from 1 species
AGAGUUUGAUCAUGGCUCAGAGCGAACGCUGGCGGCAGGCUUAACACAUGCAAGUCGAGCGGGCGUAGCAAUACGUCAGCGGCAGACGGGUGAGUAACGCGUGGGAACGUACCUUUUGGUUCGGAACAACACAGGGAAACUUGUGCUAAUACCGGAUAAGCCCUUACGGGGAAAGAUUUAUCGCCGAAAGAUCGGCCCGCGUCUGAUUAGCUAGUUGGUGAGGUAAUGGCUCACCAAGGCGACGAUCAGUAGCUGGUCUGAGAGGAUGAUCAGCCACAUUGGGACUGAGACACGGCCCAAACUCCUACGGGAGGCAGCAGUGGGGAAUAUUGGACAAUGGGCGCAAGCCUGAUCCAGCCAUGCCGCGUGAGUGAUGAAGGCCCUAGGGUUGUAAAGCUCUUUUGUGCGGGAAGAUAAUGACGGUACCGCAAGAAUAAGCCCCGGCUAACUUCGUGCCAGCAGCCGCGGUAAUACGAAGGGGGCUAGCGUUGCUCGGAAUCACUGGGCGUAAAGGGUGCGUAGGCGGGUCUUUAAGUCAGGGGUGAAAUCCUGGAGCUCAACUCCAGAACUGCCUUUGAUACUGAAGAUCUUGAGUUCGGGAGAGGUGAGUGGAACUGCGAGUGUAGAGGUGAAAUUCGUAGAUAUUCGCAAGAACACCAGUGGCGAAGGCGGCUCACUGGCCCGAUACUGACGCUGAGGCACGAAAGCGUGGGGAGCAAACAGGAUUAGAUACCCUCGUAGUCC